UACAGAGGGUGCGAGCGUUAAUCGGAAUUACUGGGCGUAAAGCGCGCGUAGGCGGCUUUGCAAGUCGGGUGUGAAAUCCCCAGGCUUAACCUGGGAACUGCAUUCGAGACUGCAUUGCUAGAGUAUGGGAGAGGGAAGUGGAAUUUCCGGUGUAGCGGUGAAAUGCGUAGAUAUCGGAAGGAACAUCAGUGGCGAAAGCGACUUCCUGGACCAAUACUGACGCUCAUGUGCGAAAGCGUGGGAGCAAACAGGAUUGAGAUACCCGGG
rnacentral:rRNA from 1 species